UAGGGAAUCUUCCGCAAUGGGCGAAAGCUUGACGGAGCAACGCCGCGUGAGUGAUGAAGGUCUUCGGAUCGUAAAACUCUGUUAUUAGGGAAGAACAAAUGUGUAAGUAACUAUGCACGUCUUGACGGUACCUAAUCAGAAAGCCACGGCUAACUACGUGCCAGCAGCCGCGGUAAUACGUAGGUGGCAAGCGUUAUCCGGAAUUAUUGGGCGUAAAGCGCGCGUAGGCGGUUUUUUAGGUCUGAUGUGAAAGCCCACGGCUCAACCGUGGAGGGUCAUUGGAAACUGGAAAACUUGAGUGCAGAAGAGGAAAGUGGAAUUCCAUGUGUAGCGGUGAAAUGCGCAGAGAUAUGGAGGAACACCAGUGGCGAAGGCGACUUUCUGGUCUGUAACUGACGCUGAUGUGCGAAAGCGUGGGGAUCAAACAGG
rnacentral:rRNA from 1 species